rnacentral:rRNA from 1 species
GUGGGGAAUCUUCCGCAAUGGACGAAAGUCUGACGGAGCGACGCCGCGUGAGUGAAGAAGGCCUUCGGGUCGUAAAGCUCUGUCAUCAGGGACGAACGGCCGGUGGAGUGGAAAGCCACCGGAUUGACGGUACCUGAGAAGGAAGCCACGGCUAACUACGUGCCAGCAGCCGCGGUAAUACGUAGGUGGCAAGCGUUGUCCGGAAUUAUUGGGCGUAAAGCGCGCGCAGGUGGGAUCUUAAGUCCAUUUUGAAAGUUCGGAGCUCAACUCCGUGAUGGGAUGGAAACUGGGAUUCUUGAGUACCGGAGAGGAAAGCGGAAUUCCUAGUGUAGCGGUGAAAUGCGUAGAUAUUAGGAAGAACACCAGUGGCGAAGGCGACUUUCUGGACGAAAACUGACGCUGAGGCGCGAAAGCCAGGGGAGCGAACGGGAUUAGAUACCCCUGUAGUCC